UUCAUAUGCCUCCGUGUGUCCCGUAACCUGGAGCUUCUUCGUCACGAAGAGGGGCUGGUCCAGCUAGCUCCUGGGUCCUGACAGGAUUUAGCACCCCAAGACUGACCGGGGGAUGCUCAGCCUUGGUCAAGAGCCUUGAACAAUGCUGUUCAUCUGUACCAGCUGCCACCCCACACGCUCCGGCCCUCUCUCCUGGCUCUCAGGGCGGGAUGCUCCUGUUUGCACCUGAGAGGUUUACAACCUUAGCAGAGGAAACUGCGGAAGUCCCAGAGGGAAGUCGCACCCACCUGGGGCCUUGAGGAAGAUGCAGCUGGGUUCAGAGAAGAGGCUGUACUUGGGGACAGUGAAGGUGUAGACCGUUCGGGCGCUGAGGCAGUGGUGCCCGUGAGCUCUGUGCUGGAGAGGAAUCUGCACUGGCUGGCCGUGUGGAAUGUCAGGAAACAGGGUCUGUUGGGAGAAGCAAGGCUGCAAAGGGCACACGCAGAGCGGAUGGGUACGCGCGGCGGGGUGGGGGCGGGGCAGCUUUCAUGUCUCCUCCUUGUACAGAGCAUUGGUGUUCCAAAGCAGCCUGCUACUUGGGGUCACUCCUGUGUAGCUCACCAAGGCCUGGGAGGGUCCCCACUUCAAGAGGGGUUUCUACAGGCCUCUAGUUCGGGUCUCCGAGCCCACAGGAGACAAUGGUCACUCAAUCACUGCAAGCUUGGAAGCUGCCUCAGCUGCCCGGUGCAGUACAGGGCAGGGGCAGGCGGCUAGUACGAAUGGAGACCUGCCCCGAGGACAAAAGGCCUAUCAGUUUCCAAGGACAGAGGAGAAAAAGACAGCAGAGCAGCUCACAGUCCUAUUCUUCCCAUGCUGACAGGGUGAUAUGCUAUGGGAGAAAAGACAGCAAGAUCCCUAGUUCAGACCCAAUAAAAUAAAAUUAAAUAAAAUAAUAAAAUAAAAAAUAAAAUAAAAUAAAAAAUAAAAUAACACCUAUAAUACCAACACUUCCGAGGCAGGAGGGUCAGGGGUUCAAGGGUUUAAGGCCAGCCUGGGCUACAGGAAGUCCUAUCUCAACUACCUCCCCUCCCCCUAAACCUAUUCACCUUUAGCUUAGUGAGGAACAUUUUAUGUGACUUGGGGUCAGAGUAAAACCCCUUGCUGCCAAACCCGAUGACCUGAGUUCAAUCCCUAAGAACCAGGAAGUGGAAGAAGGCGAGAACCAACUUCUAAAGUUGUCCUCUGACCUCCAGACACAUGCCGUGGCCUACGUGCCCGCCACAGAAUCACACCCAAAGUAAACAUGUGCAAUUAAAACAAAUUAAAUGACAUAUGUGGCUCGUAUUAUGUUAGGAUAUUCAUUUUUUUUAUUGACUUACAAAAAUCAUACAUAUUUAAUCCCGAGCAUGGUGGCCCGUGCCUAUAACCCCAGCAUUCAUUCAUUCAGGAGCCUGAGGCAGGAGGACUGAGUUUGGGCUAACCUGGACUGCAUAAAGAGACCCAGACUUGAACAAAUGUAUGUGUUUUUGGGGUAUGGUGUGAUAUGUUAAUAUUCAUGAGACUCUAGAGGGCGGAAGCACUUUCCAUCCGCAUCUUUCAGACCACAGGUGGUGAGUAAGAGCCACUGAAGAGUGAGUAAGGGUCCCUGCUAUGCCGGUCCCACCCCACCGCCCACUUUCAUAAACGGGAACCCCGCAAGACCCACUUUCCGCCAUAUUGUCUCCAAGCGGCUACUUCUGAGUUACAGCUGCAGCACUCAGACCCUGGGGCCGCCUCGGCAAACGUGUUGGUGGUUUUCUAAUCUGUCAUAAAACUGGAUGUGCAAGGAA